AAAUCGUACGGGGCUGGGAGAUGGGAGAUGGGAGCUGGGCCUGGAGCUUGCCUGGCGGGCGGAUGGGUGUGGGUGGAGGCACGUUGGGGAUCCUGGUGCAGAGUGGGCCAGCUGUGGCCUCGGGGCUCGCCACCGUGGAGGACUCCGCCUGGGCCUAGGCCCCCAUCUCUAGGAAAUGCCUCCUUCCUGCGUGCGCGCGUUGUGAGAUUACUAGUAAGAGCCGCGCUUGUGAAGACGCAGUGCCCAGUUAGUUUGCGCCAGCUUCUGAGUUCAGCUCAGAACACAGAUGAUCUCAUUGAUUCCUCACGUCAACCUUGGGAAAUCUGGGUACCCUGGGACGUCCACACAUGAGGACCGAGGCUCAGGGACAUCAAGGGACUGGCCUGGUCCCAGAAACAGGGAGUAAAAUGGGAAGUAAACUCAGUCCCACGUCUGCCUGACUCCAGAGUUUGGGCCACUGAACCAUGCGGCUGCCAUCUUGGAGUUCUUUGAGCUGUGAAGUGCUGUGCAUCGUGUGAUUCUGUGUCCCUUUUGUGCAGGUACCAGGAUUUCUAUGCAUUCGACCUGUCAGGAGCCACUCGAGUCCUUGAAUGGAUUGAUGACAAAGGUGGUAUACCUUCCUAGCCCUGAAGGAGAGGGAAUCUCACUCCUGAGCUGGGUUUCAGGAGCUAAGCCUAGAGGGACCCAACCGACUCUUCUGGGCACCUGAGAGUCACUUGUAGCAAUUUGAUGCCCCAUCAGCACUAAUAUUCCUCUUAUUAAGAUCUCUGACCAGGAGCAGUGGUUCACGCCUGUAAUCCCAGCACUUUGGGAGGCCGAGGCAGGCGGAUCACCUGAGGUCAGGAGUUCGAGACCAGUCUGGCCAACAUGGUGAAACCCCGUCUCUACUGAAAAUACAAAAAUUAGCCGGACGAGGUGGUGCACACUUGUGUACCAGCAGCUACUGGGGAGGCUGAGGCAGGAGAAUCACUUGAACCCAGGAGGUGGAGGUUGCAGUGAGCUGAGAUCACGACACUGUAUUCCAGCGUGGCUAACAAAAAAAGUCUUCAGGCUGGGCACUUCAGGAGGCUGAGGCAGCGGGCAGACUGCUUGAUCCCAGGAAUUUGAGACUAACCUAAGCAAGGAAACCCUGUCUCUACAAAAAAUACAAAAAUUAGCCGAGCAUGGUGGCUCACGCCUAUAAUCCCAGCUACUCUGAAGGCUGUGGUGGGAGGAUCACUUGAACCUGGCAGGUUGAGGCUGCAGUGAGCUGUGAUCGGACCACUGCACUCCAGCCUGGCUGACACAGCGAGACCUUGUCUGAAAAAGACACAACCAGGAGUCUUUGUUGCUGGCUAUGAAAGCCUGAAAAAGAAUGAAAUUCUUCAUCUGAAAUUACCUCUCAGACUUUCUGUAAAGGAAAACAAGGGCUUAUUCCCAGAAAGAGAUUUCAAAGUGCGCCAUGGAGGAUUUUCAGACAGGUCUAUCUUUGAUCUAAAGCAUGUGCCACAUACCAGGUAUGGUCAAUUUUGUGAUCCAGCCAUCCACACAGGAUGGGAUGGGAUGGCUGCAAAUGCCUGGGGGUAUUCUGCCUCCUCAUCUCCAUUCCCACCCCCUCAGCACACAGGCACAUGUGAGUGCACAAGUGUGUGCACACAGAUACACACAGAUUUAGAAUACAAAGAAACCACUGCUGUGGCUUCAUAGCCCCCCAGAGCCCUUGGACUAAUGUAAGUAACAGUUCUACCAGAGUUGCUCCAGGGAAUAGAUACGGGACAGAAAAAUGCUCUUCUGUUGCUCUUGGGUGAUAAUUGCUCAGUUGGGAGAGGCCAAGAGUCUCUGGGUCAGGUUGUGUUUGGCCCCAUACUUGUGUCCUCUGUAGGUGACCAUCAUGACACAUGGAAGCUUGGGCUCAGUCUCCCUAAAGUUGAUUGAGCCUGCUCCUUAUCUGUGAAAUGAGGGUGGUUGGCCUUGAUGAUCUUGCAGUAAGAUGUCCUGAUAUGGGAAGUGGAGUCCCAAGCUAAGUGUGCUGGAAAGGGGAAGGGACCUGUGUGGAUAAGCUCCCCGUGGUCUGGACUGAUUUUGUCUUUUCUGAAUAGAUUGCUGGUUACCAGUGGCCUUCCAGGUUGUUAUCUGCAGGUGUGGCAGGUUGCAGAGGACAGUGGUGAGUGAAUUUGACUUGAUGGGGUUUGGGGUUCUAGGAAAGUGUGACUCAUACACCCCUGUCCCCUAAUCUGAGCCAGUUAAGAAGUAGACUCAGGCUGGGGACAGUCUCAUGCCUGUAAUUGUAGCACUUUGGGAGGCUGAGCUGGGUGGAUCACUUGAAUUCAGGAGUUGAAGACCACCCUGUACAACAUGGUGAAACCUGUCUCUAUUAAAAAUACAAAAAAUUAGCCGGGCAUGGUGGUAGGCACCUGUAAUCCCUGCUACUGGGGAGACUGAGGCAGGAGAAUUGCUUGAACCCGGGAGGCGGAGGUUACAGUGAGCCGAGAUCAUGCCACUGCACUCCAGCCUGGGCAACAAGAGCAAAACUCCGUCUCCAAAAAAAAAAGAAGAAGUAGACUCAGAGCCAGGUGGGAAUUAAUCUACUUUAAUGCAGACAAGGUGAAUUAGCAACCAUAGCAUGGCAUCCAAGCCCCAAAUGGAGCUUCCUGUAACCUGCUCCUGGAAUUGAGUUCAUCCAGAGAACUACUCUCCCUAGGCAGGGGCAGUGGCAAGGGCAGAGCUUAGGCUGCUCAGGUGAGCUCACCUCUUUGGCAGCAUUAAGCAUAUAUUAAGAGAAGCCUCAGAUGUAGAAUACAGAGAGGAGAACCUGCCUGCUAACCAAGCAGGUGGAGACAACCAAAUAAAAACUAAAACUUGGCUGGGCGCAGUGGCUCAUGCCUGUAAUCCCAGCACUUUGGGAGGCCAAGGUAGGUGGGUCACCUGACCAGGAGUUUGAGCCCAGCCCGAGCAACAUGGCGAAACCCCGUCUCUACUAAAAAUACAAAAAAAUUAGCUGGGCAUGAGGGUGCACAUCUGUAAUUCCAGCUACUCAGGAGGCUGAGGCAGAAGAAUUUCUUGAACCUGAGAGGCGGAGGCUGCAGUGAGCUGAGGUUGUGCCACUGGACUCCAGCCUGGGCAACAGAGUGAGAUUCUGUCUCAAAAAAACAAAAGAACCAAAACAAAACUUGACUCAAAGCCAAGGAUGUUCCAUUCAGUGUAAAAAAGAUGUGGACUUUCUUGUCCACCUUACAAGACAAUGACAUCUGUAAUGUGACCUGUACUUGCUAGGCUUUAGCAAGUCACUCGAGGUCAUGGAACAUGUUUUUGAAGAAAUAAUAUCAGUUCAUGAAUUCUGUACCUGUUUCUUGUCGCUGAAGGGGUAAGUGACAUCAGCAGCAUGUUCAUUCCUUUUCUUGUCUUCUACCUGUUCUCCACAAAAGUAUAAAAAGCCAGAAUUGCUUUUUGGGUUUUGAGAUGGCAUUGUCUUCCAUUUGCAAAAAACAGUUUAUAAGACAAAUAAUAAAGAAAUUGAAAUGUUUCUGAUGGUUUCAAAAAUGUAAACAUAAGCCAGAGUAGUUAUGUCUCAACAUCAUCUCUUGCCAGCCGGCAGCUCCUUUUCUUCCUUGAUCUUCUAAAUGUACAGGGGAAGACAGCUGGCGGCCUGUCAUGUUUCAAACCUUCAUUAAAGUUCUGGAUUUUGGCCUCUUCGUUUUCCCCUAGAUGUCAUUAAAGCUGUCAGCACCAUUGCUGUGCAUGAGAAAGAGGAGAGUCUCUGGCCUAGGGUGGCCGUCUUCUCCACAUUGGCACCCGGAGUCCUCCAUGGGGCGAGGCUCCGCAGUCUGCAGGUCAUUGAUCUGGAGUCCCGGAAGACCACGUACACCUCAGGUACCAUGGUACUUUGUCCCUUGCUUGCUGCUCCAGCCGGCAUCACCCACCAGCCCAACUCAGCCACUAUAAAAACUGAGUUCAACUCUCUGUGCCAGGUGUUGGGGAUAUACAGUGAAUAAGAGGUAAGCCCUGGCCUCUAAGGGCUCCUAUGCUGGGGCAGGAUUAGGCAGUCCCAGGGACCAACACCCAACCAGCUGAGCAGACAAUGGUGAGAUGAGUGGGAAGGGAGAUGUGAUUUAUUCUGCCUGGGACUGGUGGGAAGGGACCUGUGACCAGCCAGCCCUGCCAAAUUGCCAGACCCAUCUGCCUCCAGCCGCUUGUCUCCUUUGCUGUCGGUCUUCCAGAUGUCAGUGACAGUGAGGAGCUGAGUAGCCUGCAGGUCCUAGAUGCAGACACCUUUGCCUUCUGCUGUGCUUCGGGCCGGCUGGGGCUUGUUGACACCCGCCAGAAGUGGGCACCAUUGGAGAAUCGCAGCCCUGGCCCUGGGUCUGGUGGAGAGAGAUGGUGUGCUGAAGUUGGGAGCUGGGGCCAGGGCCCUGGGCCCAGCAUUGCCAGCCUUGGCUCAGAUGGGCGUCUUUGUCUUCUUGACCCCCGGGAUCUCUGCCAUCCUGUGAGCUCAGUCCAGUGCCCAGUAUCCGUACCGAGCCCUGACCCAGAGCUGCUGCGAGUGACUUGGGCCCCAGGCCUGAAGAAUUGCUUGGCCAUCUCAGGUACUGCCGAGCAGGAUUUCGUCUUGUUAUCUGAUCUCUUUCUUCCAGGAGACUGUUGGGUGCUCAGGAAGGAGCCUCCAGCACCAUGAUAAACCUGGCUCCAGGAGUUAAAGUUGCUCACAGAGAAAUUCGAACUCUCCAGGUUCUUCAGUGGCAGGCCUUUUCCUACCCUGGCUACUAAACUUCCACACAUUGGCAGCAGGCCUUUCCUAGCCUAGCAGGAAUUCAGGUCUCAGGUUGGUGGAGGGGCCUGCAGACAGUAAGACACUGGGACAGACAUCGGGCUGGGUCAGAAAGAAAAGGGGACAGUGGCUAACACAGUGAAACCCCGUCCCUACUAAAAAUACAAAAAAUUAGCCAGGCAUGGUGGCAGGCGCCUGUAGUCCCAGCUACUUAGGAGGCUGAGGCAGAAGAAUGGCGUGAACCUGGGAGGCGGAGCUUGCAGUGAGCUGAGAUUGCACCACUGCACUCCAGCCUGGGCGACAGAGCGAGACUGUCUCAAAAAGAAAAAAAAA
rnacentral:sRNA from 1 species